UUGCAUCGAUGAAGAACGUAGCAAACUGCGAUACUUGGUGUGAAUUGCAGAAUCCCGUGAACCAUCGAGUCUUUGAACGCAAGUUGCGCCCAAAGCCAUUAGGCCGAGGGCACGUCUGCCUGGGCGUCACGC
rnacentral:rRNA from 1 species